UACGUAGGGUGCGAGCGUUGUCCGGAAUUACUGGGCGUAAAGAGCUCGUAGGUGGUUUGUCGCGUUGUCCGUGAAAACUCACAACUCAAUUGUGGGCGUGCGGGCGAUACGGGCAGACUGGAGUACUGCAGGGGAGACUGGAAUUCCUGGUGUAGCGGUGGAAUGCGCAGAUAUCGGGAAGAACACCCGUGGCGAAGGCGGCUCUCUGGGACGGUACCGACGCUGAGACGCGAAAGCGUGGGGAGCGAACAGG
rnacentral:rRNA from 1 species